rnacentral:piRNA from 1 species
UUCUUAUAGAACCCAAGACCACAAGCCCAG